GUCCCCAUCGUCUAGCGGCCUAGGACACCACCCUUUCACGGUGGAUACACCGGUUCAAAUCCGGUUGGGGACGCCA
rnacentral:tRNA from 1 species